rnacentral:misc_RNA from 1 species
GAUGAAGAACGUAGCGAAAUGCGCUAAGUAAUGUGAAUUGCAGAAUUCAGUGAAUCAUCGAAUCUUUGAACGCACAUUGCGCCCCCUGGUAUUCCGGGGGGCAUGCCUGUCCGAGCGUCAUUACAACCCUCAAGCUCAGCUUGGUGUUGGGCCCCGCCGCCCCGGCGGGCCCUAAAGUCAGUGGCGGUGCCGUCCGGCUCCGAGCGUAGUAAUUCUUCUCGCUCUGGAGGUCCGGUCGUGUGCUCGCCAGCAACCCCCAAUUUUUUUCAGGUUGACCUCGGAUCAGGUAGGGAUACCCGCUGAACUUAAGCAUAUCAAUAAGCGGAGGA